rnacentral:rRNA from 1 species
AUUGAACGCUGGCGGCAUGCCUUACACAUGCAAGUCGAACGGCAGCACGGGAGCAAUCCUGGUGGCGAGUGGCGAACGGGUGAGUAAUAUAUCGGAACGUGCCCAGUCGUGGGGGAUAACGCAGCGAAAGUUGUGCUAAUACCGCAUACGAUCUACGGAUGAAAGCGGGGGAUCGCAAGACCCCGCGCGAUUGGAGCGGCCGAUAUCAGAUUAGCUAGUUGGUGAGGUAAAGGCUCACCAAGGCGAUGAUCUGUAGCUGGUCUGAGAGGACGACCAGCCACACUGGAACUGAGACACGGUCCAGACUCCUACGGGAGGCAGCAGUGGGGAAUUUUGGACAAUGGGCGCAAGCCUGAUCCAGCAAUGCCGCGUGCAGGAUGAAGGCCUUCGGGUUGUAAACUGCUUUUGUACGGAACGAAACGGUGAGCUCUAAUACAGUUUGCUAAUGACGGUACCGUAAGAAUAAGCACCGGCUAACUACGUGCCAGCCGCCGCGGUAAGAC